UUAAAGCUAACCAGCACCGAGUAACAGCAUUUAACCUUCAAAGAAGCAUAUAUGAAGUGCUUACGAGGAGAGCAAGCGUAGGAUUACGAGGUAGAAAAAAUUUUCAUACUGUUACUUUAACUGAAAAAAAUAUUCUUGUAGAAAGUGGACCAUGUACAAAUAUCCAUGUUCACACGUUUUAGCUGUGUGCCAAGAAAUUGCUGUAUAUUUUAGUGAAUUUGUGGAUGAUGCAUAUAUAAUUACAGCAUAUAUGAAUGCUUGGAGUGACGAGUUUAAUCCAUUACCACAUGAAGAUUAUUGGA
rnacentral:lncRNA from 1 species